AUACCAGCCGCUAGUAUAAGCAAUUAUACAGCGAAACUGCGAAUGGCUCAUUAUAUAAGUUAUCGUUUAUUUGAUAGUACCUUACUACUUGGAUAACCGUGGUAAUUCUAGAGCUAAUACAUGCUAAAAAUCCCGACUUCGGAAGGGAUGUAUUUAUUAGAUUAAAAACCAAUGCCCUCUGGGCUCUCUGGUGAUUCAUGAUAACUUCUCGAAUCGCAUGGCCUUGCGCCGGCGAUGGUUCAUUCAAAUUUCUUCCCUAUCAACUUUCGAUGUUUGGGUAGUGGCCAAACAUGGUUGCAACGGGUAACGGAGGGUUAGGGCUCGACCCCGGAGAAGGAGCCUGAGAAACGGCUACUACAUCCAAGGAAGGCAGCAGGCGCGCAAAUUACCCAAUCCCGAUUCGGGGAGGUAGUGACAAUAAAUACUGAUACAGGGCUCUUUUGGGUCUUGUAAUUGGAAUGAGUACAAUUUAAAUCCCUUAACGAGGAACAAUUGGAGGGCAAGUCUGGUGCCAGCAGCCGCGGUAAUUCCAGCUCCAAUAGCGUAUAUUAAAGUUGUUGUGGUUAAAAAGCUCGUAGUUGAACCUUGGGCCUGGCUGGCCGGUCCGCCUCACCGCGUGUACUGGUCCGGCCGGGUCUUUCCCUCUGUGGAACCCCAUGCCCUUCACUGGGUGUGGCGGGGAAACAGGACUUUUACUUUGAAAAAAUUAGAGUGCUCCAGGCAGGCCUAUGCUCGAAUACAUUAGCAUGGAAUAAUGAAAUAGGACGUGCGGUUCUAUUUUGUUGGUUUCUAGGACCGCCGUAAUGAUUAAUAGGGACAGUCGGGGGCAUCAGUAUUCAAUUGUCAGAGGUGAAAUUCUUGGAUUUAUUGAAGACUAACUACUGCGAAAGCAUUUGCCAAGGAUGUUUUCAUUAAUCAGGAACGAAAGUUAGGGGAUCGAAGACGAUCAGAUACCGUCGUAGUCUUAACCAUAAACUAUGCCGACUAGGGAUCGGACGAUGUUAUUUUUUGGACUCGUUCGGCACCUUACGAGAAAUCAAAGUGCUUGGGCUCCAGGGGGAG
rnacentral:rRNA from 1 species